CUCCUGCCUCAGCUUCCUGAGUAGCUGGGACCACAGGCAUGUGCCACCUCACCUGACUGUAGGCUUGGAAGAAGAAUGACAAAACCUAUGAGCAAGGCAGUUAUUUUGAAUGAUAUUUCUUCCCUUUUCUGUAUUGCAGGACAUCAGAACUAAUGUUUCUCUUUUGUUUUCAUUCUGUUUUUUUUCUGCAUCCUGUCUUUCAUGAAAAUAUUUUUCUCUCCCUUGAUAUCACUGCUUUUUUUCUUUUUGAUAUAUGAAUACACAGCUACUUCUGUGUUCUUUACUUCUUUAAACAGUUAACCCUUUUAUGUUACUGUAGGCAGAAAAAGGAUAGCGGUUAAUCAAUUAGGCAGUGAAGAGGGUAAAACUUUGUUUGCCUGCCCUACUUUGUUGGCUGUCUCUGAGUUUGUGUGUGUGUAUCUUAAAA